AACACUGUUAACCUGCGGUACCUGCGGAAGGAUCAUUACCGAGUUUACAACUCCCAAACCCCUGUGAACAUACCAAUUGUUGCCUCGGCGGAUCAGCCCGCUCCCGGUAAAACGGGACGGCCCGCCAGAGGACCCCUAAACUCUGUUUCUAUAUGUAACUUCUGAGUAAAACCAUAAAUAAAUCAAAACUUUCAACAAUGGAUCU
rnacentral:misc_RNA from 1 species